GAGGGUAUAGCUCAGUGGUAGAGUGUGUGACUAGGAUGCACAAGGUCCUGGGUUCAAUCCUCAGUACCUUCA
rnacentral:tRNA from 1 species